CAACGUGGUGAAACCCCGUGUCUACUAAAAAAAUACAAAAAUUAGCUGAGUGUGGUGGCACAUGCCAGUAAUCCCAGCUACUCGGGAGGCUGAGGCAGGAGAAUCACUUGAACCAGGCAGUCGGAGGUUUCAGUGAGCCGAGAUCGUGCCACUGCACUUUAGCCUGGCAAAAGAGCGAGACUUCAUCUCAAAAAGAAAAAGAAAAAAAAGAAAGGUUUAUUGCCAAGAAAUGCUAACGAUCAUCUUCCGUUUUCUAGAAAAACCUGUCCAUUGUCAUAUGUCAGAAGAUAAGAGCUAUGAAACAAGGGUUGAUGUGCCCCAAUCAACCCAACUGAGAUCAUCUUAAAUAAGCUGAUAAUCUACCAAGCCCCAAUAUGUGAGUAAGCCCUGUCAAAACUGGCAGAACCAAUCAUGAGACACUACAAAGGACAAGCUACUGCACAGAAGCAAGAGUAAUAAUAGCCCAACCAAGUAUAGAUCAGCAAAAGUCAUUGGACGUGCCAGACAUAAGCAUUUCUUGUAUGCUUCUGAGUUGUGGAUUGUAUGUUAGGCCAUACUACUGUGUCAAUAUGUAACUGAUUUACACAGCUUAUGACUAACAAAAGGAAAUGUCCUUUAGUCACUUCCACAGAGUAGCUAGAUCUGAGCCUUCAAUGAGUUGUAAUCCCUUUGCUGGCAGAAGAUCUUGCCUCAGUGUUGAUGGCUGCUGCUGACUUCUUUUCAUAGGGCAUUAAUCCACUCAUGAGAGUGGAACCCUUGUAAUCCAAACACCACCUAUUAGGUCACAUCUCCCAACACUAUUGCAUUGGGAGUUCAGUUUCUAACACACAAAUUUGGGGGGACUCAUUCAGACCAUACUAAUGAUCAAGUAUAGACCUGGCACCACGGAAGACCUACUCUUACAUAGGCAGGGUUCUGCAGGAUGUGCAUGAUGAACUCACUGUGGUUCAGGUACACAUUUAAUCACACAGGUUUAAAGAAUCAUUGUCUCAAAGAUUAUUGGAUUUGGAAUGCUCACUUGAUAACAGAGUGCACAAGAAACUGAUGAGUAGCAUAAGCAACGUGUAUAGUUAUUCAAUCAGAAAACAAUGGCCAGACAGACCAGGCAUUAACAAUGACUGACUGCUAUACUCUUUAUGAAAGGAAAGUUCAUGAGAACUCAAAUUCUCAUAGGAUGGGUUUAAAGAUGAUAGUGGGAGCAUAAUUCCAGAAAAAUCACCCCAGGUCCAGAUUUUUGUUAGGCUUUAUAUACAGAUAAAUGAAGAUCAUUUGCAGUCAUUAGACUCCUUGCUAAAUUAAUACAGUCCUGAGAGUUGAAACACAAAAGUUUUUGUCUGGUAAGAUGAACUUGUAUUUUGUUUAACCGGAAUUUGAAACAAGUUAGGAUAUAUCUGAAAUCCAUUCUGUGGUAGAAAUCAAAUAUAGCUCUGAUUUUCAUCUCUGCCUGGAUUCAUGGUGUAAUAUAGUUUUUGUUUUGUUUUGUUUUGAAAUAAAAUCUUGCCCUGGUUUUGAGGCCCUGACUCAAGUCCACACCCCUAUCAUUUUUGUUAUCUGAUUCUCAUACUCUUGGACCACUAGGAACCAGCCCUAGUCACCCCUGGGACAGGUAUCAGACAACUGGAGACAUUCCUGGAAACUCAGAGCCCUAAAAAUUAUUUAAAUUAGUCAAUCCUCAAGAAGUCCAUGAAAGCUGGCUAACCCCAGGCACUCUGGUUGCUCUGCAGAAGCUGCCUCUCACAGCUUCAGCUUGUUGCUCCCUGUCCUGAGUGUAACUCCCUGUACAGCCCUAUCUAGAGCUAUAAGUAACAAAGAGUUCUACCUUUUGUUGAUUGGAGGGUCACUGUGUUGUGCUCUGACAAGAAAAGAAUCUUUAAUCUUAUUCCAAAUGUGACCAAUUCUUCUAAGCCUUUCGUGUCUUCCCAUCUGACUCUAUGUUUAGACAUGUGAUUUUCUUUGGCCCAUGGGAUGUUAGUAAAUGUGACACAUGCAGAAACAUGAAAAAUGCUUGAACAGAGAGACUGGCUCUUCUUGCUCCUCCCUUUUCUAGGAAAACCUGCCCAUUGUCAUAUGUUAGAAGAUAGGAACUAUGAAACAAGGACUCGUGUGCCCCAAUCAACCCAACUGAGACCAUCUUAGAUAAGCUGAUAAUCUACCAAGCCCCAAUAUAAAAGAGAGAAGAAAAUAAAAUAACAGCCACAUCCCCAUAAAAUUUGAAGAAAUGAUGGAG
rnacentral:lncRNA from 10 species